AUUGAACGCUGGCGGCAUGCCUUACACAUGCAAGUCGAACGGUAACGCGGGGCAACCUGGCGACGAGUGGCGAACGGGUGAGUAAUGCAUCGGAACGUGCCCAUUAGUGGGGGAUAGCCCGGCGAAAGCCGGAUUAAUACCGCAUACGACCUACGGGUGAAAGCAGGGGAGUCGCAAGACCUUGCGCUAUUGGAGCGGCCGAUGUCAGAUUAGGUUGUUGGUGGGGUAAAAGACCUACCAAGCCGACGAUCUGUAGCUGGUCUGAGAGGACGACCAGCCACACUGGGACUGAGACACGGCCCAGACUCCUACGGGAGGGCAGCAGUGGGGAAUUUUGGUACAAUGGGCGCAAGCCUGAUCCAGCCAUGCCGCGUGCGGGAAGAAGGCCU
rnacentral:rRNA from 1 species